UACGAAGGGGGCGAGCGUUGUUCGGAUUUACUGGGCGUAAAGGGCGCGUAGGCGGCCCUCCUUGUCGCGUGUGAAAGCCCCGGGCUCAACCUGGGAACGGCGCGCGAGACGGGGGGGCUGGAGUUCGGGAGAGGAGCGUGGAAUUCCCAGUGUAGAGGUGAAAUUCGUAGAUAUUGGGAAGAACACCGGUGGCGAAGGCGGCGCUCUGGACCGAGACUGACGCUGAGGCGCGAAAGCUAGGGGAGCAAACAGG
rnacentral:rRNA from 1 species